rnacentral:sRNA from 2 species
GCGAAGGAGGGCUAGGGUUCCGGUCCCGCAGGGGAUGCUGGUCCGAGAGCCGCCGGUUCCGCCAUCAGGCGGGACUCCACGGAGGGACAAAAGCCCGGGAGAC